GACGAACGCUGGCGGCGUGCUUAACACAUGCAAGUCGAACGGAAAGGCUCCAGCUUGCUGGAGUGCUCGAGUGGCGAACGGGUGAGUAACACGUGGGCAAUCUGCCCUGCACUCUGGGAUAAGCCUGGGAAACUGGGUCUAAUACCGGAUAUGACCUUUCUCCUCAUGGGGUUUGGUGGAAAGUUUUUCGGUGCAGGUUGAGCCCGCGUCCUAUCAGCUUGUUGGUGGGGUAAUGGCCUACCAAGGCGACGACGGGUAGCCGGCAUGAGAGGGUGAUCGGCCACAUUGGGACUGAGAUACGGCCCAGACUCCUACGGGAGGCAGCAGUGGGGAAUAUUGCACAAUGGGCGAAAGCCUGAUGCAGCGACGCCGCGUGAGGGAUGACGGCCUUCGGGUUGUAAACCUCUUUCAGUAGGGACGAAGCGAAAGUGACGGUACCUGCAGAAGAAGCACCGGCUAACUACGUG
rnacentral:rRNA from 1 species